rnacentral:lncRNA from 1 species
UUUUUCAGGACAAAUACUAGAGUAGUGACCAUACUUCUGACAAUUAAAACACCAAAUGUGACUUUUGUCAGGUUUUCGACCACCACCUUUUCCUCUACCUACAACACCACCUCGUUUGGUUACUUUGGAAUGAUGGUCUUCUCUGAUUCGACCAACACUUCCCUUUGCCUUUCUUUUCUCUUGUUGAUUGCACGCUGAUUCAACAUCACUAGAAUUUUUUUCCAAAAUAACCAACUUAAGAAAAAUUAAU